rnacentral:misc_RNA from 1 species
CGCGUCUAGCAGGCUUGUAUGGGUUGCAUUUCGAUCCUCCGGUGCCUCUUCCUGCGGAGGAGUCGGCGGAGCUUUCGAUGCACCUCGUCUUGUGAUGGGAAGACGCGUGAGUGGCGAUUAGGAUAUGUUUCCCGUGCAGGCUCCGUGUAUGUCGCAUCGAACUGCUUGGGUCUAUCUAUUUCAUCCGUUGUUUCGCCCCGGCUUUUUCCUGGUCGGCUGCGACGACUCGUUGGGUUCCUGUGCUGUAUAUCGAAAUCGGAAGUCGGAUGGAACGUUGUUCCCCGUCCGUCUUGGUUUACUUGCUCCCCCCUGCCUCGUGCGGCGGCGGAGGGUAUUGUGCGGGCAUCGACGUUCUCCUCACGAGCAGAUUCUUCCAUCGUUGGGCGCUUCUGCUUGUGACGGCACGUAAGAUGCUGUCGGCACUCUCGGGUACGGAAAACUUAUGGCCAUCGCAUCGGCCGUCGACCCUUGCGAGCGUAAAGUGUGGCGAAGCUCUCUCGCUUCCGAACAUAUGACCCUCGUGCUCGUCCGAGAGCUCGCCGAGCGUCUUCGUUCGGCGUUCUUCUCGGGGAGCUGUCGAGGUCUACGGAGGAAUGCUACCUGGUUGAUC